GCACGUCGUUCUAGACAACACAACUAUGGUUCAGUUUACCUUGUGAUAGUCAGUAGAAUGAACUUUUUGGAUCUAAGACCUCAAGGGAAAUAGAAAUCUUGUUUCUUGUCUAUUUGGAUGUGUUUUUCACUUUUAAAACAUGAACUUAAAGGGGGGUGGGAGUGGAAUAAGAGAGAUCAGUCCAAUCUUUCAUAACAGCAUAUUUACUUCACCAGGAAAAAAAAUGACUUUAAUUACAUAGGGAUAGAAAAAAAAAGCCUUGAAUACCCUUCCUUGACUAGAUUCAGGGCUUUCAUGUGAGAAUAAAAUACGCAUUUACAGUAAGUUUAGAUUUGGGGGUGGAAUUUAAAGCUCUUGUUCAUCAACAUAUCAUAAUGGAUGAGUGUGACACCCGCAUAAUAGCACUUGUUUGAGCACUUUUAGAAAGAGCAGGGGAGCCUCUGCAGUGCAGUGAGGGAGUUUAAAAAUUUAAGGAUGUUUCCUUUACAAUGAGAAACACCAUCUACUCAAAAUCAGUCGGCAAAUCCGUGUUCAGAAUCUGUGUUCUCACUCUGAUGUUCAGGAAUGGUUAGGGAAGGAGAGAGAAUCUCAAGGUCACUGGGAAUAGUCUUUAGAGCGUUCUUAUAGGGCUUAUCUGUGCUCACACGCCUAAUUUUUUUCCAAGUGCAAAGAAUGGCCACUUGCUUGAGACAGGCCCAGUGCCAUCCUUUAUUCAAGUUCCUUUAUACUCCUCUUUUUAAAGAAGCUGUCAAGUUCUUUUUUUACAGCUGACAGAAAAGGCCAAAUCUGUGGUACAGGAAAGGAGGUGCGAAAAGAAACUUUUUUGUGUUGAUGUUUUACUAAGUGAGCUAAGGAGAAUUUUAGAAUCAUGUAAUUUACUCUGGAGGCAUUUACUGUACAUAGCUAUAGUGAUGGUAAUUUCUUUCAUUGUUGAAAUGAAAAGAUAACCAUCAAUCAGUUGUCAAUUGGUCAAUUGCAGAAGUGAUGAAAAGAAACUGGUAGGAACAAUCACUUCUGUGGCUACCUAGACAUUUGGAGGCUUAAGAAAAGUAUGGGAACUGGAUUGCAUUUUAAAAAAGGAUUGGACUAGACUUUCAAAAAGGUUAAUAGGCAUAACUUCCUUGCAAAGAAUGGCUUUGCAGUUACACAUAAUCAGGAAAUGUAUUUUUAAAAAUGAAAAAUUAAAAAGUCAUGGAGUUAAAAAGUAAAAAAAUAAAUUAUUGAACUAGAUAUCAGGUAAGUUAGCCCCCAAAAUCUUGAAUCUCAGUGUGUUCUUAGUGGAGAAAACAAAUAUAGCAUACUAAUAACCCAACACAUGUAUUUUAGAAUAAAUUAAUGAAAAUUACUUUGUACUCAUGCCUUAGUUUCAAUAUUGGGCAUUUUGAAAUAAAGAACUUUCCAGGUAUUUAUCACAAGAAAUUGGAAGUCCAAGUUUAUUUUGAACAGUUAUUAAGCAAACAUCUACAGAUAAUUUGAUUUUUUUAAACCUAUGGAAGCUCACAUAAAGGUGAAGAGAAGUUUUAAAAUCAUUCACUUGCAUAAAAGGCAAACAGCACUUUGAGAUUUAGUAUUAUAAGAUUUCAUUUUACUUUAUCCUAUUUACCUAAGAAUAGCAAUGAUACUGAUUUAUUCUGAAAGUUUCCCCCCACACACAGUGAUUUUUCUUUUUUUUUUUUUUUACUGUGGUAGGUAAUAAAAAGGAUUACAGGCCCCCAGAAGGAUGAGAUAUCAUCAGUUUGUAAUCCAGCCCGUGGUUUCCUAGAUACCGUAUUGUCUAUUCUGUUCCGCUAUGUGAAAAAUGUUGAAUAUCAACAAUGGGUUUCAGUGCUGUAUUGUUGAGUUUUGUAUGAACUAAUCUAGCUUCACUAAGGAAAAAAAAAAGAAAGAAAGAAAAGAAAGAAAGAAGAAAAAAAAAGGAAAAAAAGAACCAUAGCUUUGGACAAAAGUCUAUAGCCAGUGCAUUUGAAACUCCCCUUGCACCAGGGCUGACUGUAGCUGGGGAAGACAGUUUACUCAUUUGCUCUCUCCUUUCAUACAGUCAGCUGGCCCUCUCCUCAGGUGUAGAUCAUCUAUUAUCAUUUCACCUGUUUUGAUUCUCUGACGAGGAAGGUCCCAGGACUUAUCAGCUGGGAUAGGCCUCAUUUACAAGACAGCUCUGUUCAGUAUGUGGAAGAAAGCCUGACAGGUUUCUCCGGAAAAGUGACCAUCCAUGGAAUGAAUGAAAUGUUCCCUUUCUAUUCCAGGCUAAUGUUUUGUUGAACACAUUCUGGGAAAUUCUCCUCUAAUAGACCUUUCACACACUCACACAAACACAGCCCUAUAAGGUAACGUUAAUGUUAUUUAUGUUUGGUUCUGUAUUUACCAAUUCUUUACCCUCAUUUUGUGGAUGGGAUGUUAAUGGACAUGCUAUUAAUUUAAUCACUCAACAAAUAUUUAGGCACAGUGCUAAAUGCUAGCAAAUCAAUCAGGCCCCUGACCUUACCGAGCUUACAGUCCAGGAAAGAAACUGCUGCAAGAGCUCUAGUGUCUUAAAAAGAAAAGGAAAAAAAAAAACAAAACCAGGAAGCACAAGUAAUUUUAGCUGUCUCUGGCACUCAUAGUUCAUCUGGCUAUGUUUGUUUUGUUUUCCCUAAUUCUAAAAUGAGAGAAGAAGGAAAGAAAAAAAAUAGAACAUCAGUCCGGAAGUUUACAGUCUGUUCUUUGAAUAGAGAUAUGCCAUAUUUUCCUGAGGUCUACUUACGCUUCAACAGUUACAUCCAUGGUAAUCCUCUAGUAAUCCAAAGAUGGGCUGCUACUGUUUAGAAAGAGGGAGAUAGGAAGGAAAGGAAGGGAAGAAAGGAAAAGGAAGGAAGGGAGGAAGGAA